CAGCAGUGGGGAAUAUUGCACAAUGGGGGAAACCCUGAUGCAGCGACGCCGCGUGGAGGAAGAAGGUCUUCGGAUUGUAAACUCCUGUUGUUGAGGAAGAUAAUGACGGUACUCAACAAGGAAGUGACGGCUAACUACGUGCCAGCAGCCGCGGUAAAACGUAGGUCACAAGCGUUGUCCGGAAUUACUGGGUGUAAAGGGAGCGCAGGCGGGAGAACAAGUUGGAAGUGAAAUCCAUGGGCUCAACCCAUGAACUGCUUUCAAAACUGUUUUUCUUGAGUAGUGCAGAGGUAGGCGGAAUUCCCGGUGUAGCGGUGGAAUGCGUAGAUAUCGGGAGGAACACCAGUGGCGAAGGCGGCCUACUGGGCACCAACUGACGCUGAGGCUCGAAAGUGUGGGGAGCAAACAGGAUUAGAUACCCUGGUAGUCCACACCGUAAACGAUGGAUACUAGGUGUAGGAGGUAUCGACCCCUUCUGUGCCGCAGUUAACACAAUAAGUAUCCCACCUGGGGAGUACGACCGCAAGGUUGAAACUCAAAGGAAUUGACGGGGGCCCGCACAAGCGGUGGAGCAUGUGGUUUAAUUCGAAGCAACGCGAAGAACCUUACCUGGUCUUGACAUCCCUCUGACCGCUCUUUAAUCGGAGCUUUCCUUCGGGACAGAGGAGACAGGUGGUGCAUGGUUGUCGUCAGCUCGUGUCGUGAGAUGUUGGGUUAAGUCCCGCAACGAGCGCAACCC
rnacentral:rRNA from 1 species